GCCGGAAUAGCUCAGUUGAGAGAGUAACUUAGACUGAAGUUGUUUACGCAACAAUCAUCUAAAGGCUCCUGGUUCAAUCCCCGGUUCUGGCA
rnacentral:tRNA from 1 species